rnacentral:rRNA from 1 species
AACGGUAGAGACUGUGUUAUUCAUAUGUAAUAGGUUUAAAGGGUACCUAGACGGUAUGUCAUCGGCUAAGUUUACUUAGGACGGGACUACUAGAGUUUUAUAUAGAGUCAGGGGAAGUAUUGAGAGGUGAAGAGAUGAAAUUCGAUCAUACCCUCAGGACAGGUAAAGGCGCAGGCAACCUACUGAUAUAAAACUGACGUUGAGGGACGAAGGCUAGGAAAAAUGAACAGG